AUUUUAUGUUCACUUGCCACUCUCCACUGUGAGGCUAGGGCACAGGAUGCCAGUAGAAAGCUGUUUCACAGCUCAAGGUUAACGUGCUUUGUUCUGUGGAAAGCAAAGGGAGAGAGAACAGGGAUCAACACAGAGAAUAGAUGUAUGAAGCUACUCUGGCAUGCUUUGGUUAACACCGAGUGGACACAAAUUAAGAGACAGAGAUAGAGACGGAGGGGAGAGGGGCCACUGAUUUGCUGCUGUAACAGGUGGUACAGCUUGUCCUUGAUGACCAACAAAGCAACUCUGCUACUGUGCCUGUGUGUGUGUGUGUGUGUGUAUGUGUGUUAUGUGCAUUAUGACAAUGUCCAAAUCGCAUGCAUAAGCCUUGGUAUGUACCUUAUUUUGCAUUCACCUCUGUGCCAAACAGAGCAACUGACACAAAAGAGGGGCAAGUUAACAACAGUACUUAUUUGCCUGGAAGGCCUACAUUUACAUUUUGACACCAGAUGUAUAAAAUUUGCUUUGUCACUUCAAAAGAAUAAGUGUGUACAAUGAAUUUAAAAGCAAACAAUUUUUGUAAUUAGAGCAGAAAAGACUACAGUUAAUGAUUAUUUGUUGUUAGUGAUCAUUCUAAUGAUUAUAUCCUUAAUCUUUUGGUCUAUAAAAUGUGGCUAAUUAGUGAAAAUGCCCAUCAAAGCUUCACAAAGUUUUCCAAUCAACAGUCCUAAAUCAAAUACUGUAUAUUCAGUUUGCAAUGAGAUAAAACAAAUAAAA